rnacentral:rRNA from 1 species
UACGUAGGGUGCAAGCGUUAAUCGGAAUUACUGGGCGUAAAGCGUGCGCAGGCGGUUCGUUGUGUCGGUGGUGAAAGCCCCGGGCUCAACCUGGGAAUGGCCAUGGAAACUGGCGAACUGGAGUGUGGCAGAGGGGGGUGGAAUUCCGCGUGUAGCAGUGAAAUGCGUAGAGAUGCGGAGGAAUACCGAUGGCGAAGGCAGCCCCCUGGGCUAACACUGACGCUCAUGCACGAAAGCGUGGGGAGCAAACAGG